rnacentral:rRNA from 1 species
UCCAAAGGGCAUGCCUGUUUGAGCGUCAUUUCUCCCUCAAACCCUCGGGUUUGGUGUUGAGCGAUACGCUGGGUUUGCUUGAAAGAAAGGCGGAGUAUAAACUAAUGGAUAGGUUUUUUCCACUCAUUGGUACAAACUCCAAAACUUCUUCCAAAUUCGACCUCAAAUCAGGUAGGACUACCCGCUGAACUUAAGCAUAUCAAUAAGCGGAGGAAAAGAAACCAACAGGGAUUGCCUUAGUAGCGGCGAGUGAAGCGGCAAAAGCUCAAAUUUGAAAUCUGGCACUUUCAGUGUCCGAGUUGUAAUUUGAAGAAGGUAUCUUUGGGUCUGGCUCUUGUCUAUGUUUCUUGGAACAGAACGUCACAGAGGGUGAGAAUCCCGUGCGAUGAGAUGUCCCAGACCUAUGUAAAGUUCCUUCGAAGAGUCGAGUUGUUUGGGAAUGCAGCUCUAAGUGGGUGGUAAAUUCCAUCUAAAGCUAAAUAUUGGCGAGAGACCGAUAGCGAACAAGUACAGUGAUGGAAAGAUGAAAAGAACUUUGAAAAGAGAGUGAAAAAGUACGUGAAAUUGUUGAAAGGGAAGGGCUUGAGAUCAGACUUGGUAUUUUGUAUGUUACUCUCUCGGGGGUGGCCUCUACAGUUUACCGGGCCAGCAUCAGUUUGAGCGGUAGGAUAAGUGCAAAGAAAUGUGGCACUGCUUCGGUAGUGUGUUAUAGUCUUUGUCGAUACUGCCAGCUUAGACUGAGGACUGCGGCUUCGGCCUAGGAUGUUGGCAUAAUGAUCUUAAGUCGCCCGUCUUGAAACACGGACCAAGGAGUCUAACGUCUAUGCGAGUGUUUGGGUGUAAAACCCGUACGCGUAAUGAAAGUGAACGUAGGUAGGACCUCCUUUAGGAGUGCACUAUCGACCGAUCCUGAUGUCUUCGGAUGGAUUGAGUAAGAGCAUAGCUGUUGGGACCCG